rnacentral:rRNA from 2 species
GUUGACCUCGGAUCAGGUAGGAAUACCCGCUGAACUUAAGCAUAUCAAUAAGCGGAGGAAAAGAAACCAACAGGGAUUGCCCCAGUAACGGCGAGUGAAGCGGCAACAGCUCAAAUUUGAAAUCUGGCCCCAGGCCCGAGUUGUAAUUUGCAGAGGAUGCUUUUGGCGCGGUGCCUUCCGAGUUCCCUGGAACGGGACGCCAUAGAGGGUGAGAGCCCCGUACGGUUGGACACCAAGCCUUUGUAAAGCUCCUUCGACGAGUCGAGUAGUUUGGGAAUGCUGCUCUAAAUGGGAGGUACAUUUCUUCUAAAGCUAAAUAUUGGCCAGAGACCGAUAGCGCACAAGUAGAGUGAUCGAAAGAUGAAAAGCACUUUGAAAAGAGGGUUAAACAGCACGUGAAAUUGUUAAAAGGGAAGCGCUUGUGACCAGACUUGCGUCCGGUGAAUCACCCAGCUCUCGCGGCUGGGGCACUUCGCCGGCACAGGCCAGCAUCAGCUUGCCGUCGGGGACAAAAGCUUCAGGAACGUGGCUCCUCUCGGGGAGUGUUAUAGCCUGUUGCAUAAUACCCUUCGGCGGGCUGAGGUACGCGCUCCGCAAGGAUGCUGGCGUAAUGGUCAUCAGCGAC